rnacentral:lncRNA from 1 species
AUCAGCACAUCCCAGAAAAUGGGAAACCGAAUCACCCAGGGGAUGGCAAGGAAUGACCAGAGGGAAAGUUCCAGUUCUGUCCAACAUGCACUACCAGCCCCAUUUUGGAAAAGAACAGAUUUAAUAGACCUCACCAAGACAAGAAUUGUUUUUCGUCAAAGGAAAUCAAAGGAACAAACAAGAGGCAGUGACCACCAGAGACUUCACCUUUUGGUGUAGGAAAACCCAAGCAGACAGUGUCUACAUCCAUCAAAGCCCAAUGUAUUAAAUAUUUAUUGAAUAAGAACCCACGGACUCUUCCUUACCAGAGCCUUAGAUUGCCAUGUGCGUCUGAUUGCUCCAAAGACAAGACUAUUGUGAUUUUGGCCCCAUAUGCAUUUUAGAGUAACAAGUCUUACCAGAAAAAUAAUAGCCAGCCCCAGCUUAAUUCCUAGAGAAACUCAAACCACCUUGUUAAGAACAAUCCCAGAGGAGAGUUUAUACUAAGGAGCACUACACAAUGCUGUUUGCCAUCUCUGGGCCCUCUAAAAGCAAGCCCAACCUUGGAAAAGGAAUGUCUGCCACCAGGGAAACGUGGCUGCACUGCUGGAGGAAGAACUUGAUCAUGACGGGCAAUGCUUGGAAGUAAAGAAGCAUCUGCUGCCUUGGAAAGGCUUGGUCAGGGCAAUCAUUGUCACAGGCCAUGUUUUUUCUCUGACUAUCUCUUGGAAUUUCAGAGUGACUAAGUGAUUACUACAAUUAGAGCAAGAGGCGGUGUCUUCCAGAAGUCGGUGUGGGCAGCACCAAACCAUCCACCAUGCAUCAGAGAAAAGCCAGACAGCUGGAAGGCUCUAUUCCCAGGCCACUCUCCAGUCCUCAAACAUGUCACCAUCUCUCAUGCCUCCUUACUGGGCCCAUGCUGUCUCCUUGACCAGGAAUGUCCUCCACCCCGAUCCCAUCCCCAUAGCCCCCUUCACUGUAAGAUCUGGGCCCAGCAAAUUGCCCAGCUCCUCUUCUCUGAAUGCUUCUUUAAUGUCUCUGAGAAGGAGUUCCUUCCUCCUUUACUGUCCAUCUCUUCCACCACAUGAGGGGUUUGGGGGAGGUCUUUGAAGACAAGGGACCCUUCCUCAUUCAUAUUUGAAUACUGAGCCCAAGCACACGCCCCUAGCAUCUGCAAUACACACAUGUCAAGGUGAAUGGGGAGAUAGAUGCCAAGAUCCUUGAGCGCUGCAAAUCUUCACUGCCAACUUCAACUACUCCAAAAUAAAGUCAAAAUUUUAAAAGUAA